rnacentral:misc_RNA from 1 species
AAGUCGUAACAAGGUUUCCGUAGGUGAACCUGCGGAAGGAUCAUUAAAAAAAAAAUAAAAUUUUUAACAAUGUGAACUUGGAAGUCCUUUUCUUUAAGAGGGGGACAAAAUAAAACUUUAUAGCAGCAGAGUCAAAAAUAAAAAAUAAUGACAACUUUUAGCAACGGAUCUCUAGGUUCUC